GACGAACGCUGGCGGCGUGCCUAAUACAUGCAAGUCGAGCGGACGAAUCGAAAGCUUGCUUUUGAUUCGUUAGCGGCGGACGGGUGAGUAACACGUGGGCAACCUGCCCUGUAGACGGGGAUAACACCGAGAAAUCGGUGCUAAUACCGGAUAACACGAAAUGUCGCAUGACGUUUCGUUGAAAGACGGCGCAAGCUGCCGCUACAGGAUGGGCCCGCGGCGCAUUAGCUAGUUGGUGAGGUAACGGCUCACCAAGGCGACGAUACGUAGCCGACCUGGGGGGGUGAUCGGCCACACUGGGACUGAGACACGGCCCAGACUCCUACGGGAGGCAGCAGUAGGGAAUCUUCCGCAAUGGACGAAAGUCUGACGGAGCAACGCCGCGUGAGCGAAGAAGGCCUUCGGGCCGUAAAGCUCUGUUGUUAGGGAAGAACAAGUAACGCAGUAACUGGCGUUACCGUGACGGUACCUAACGAGAAAGCCACGGCUAACUACGUG
rnacentral:rRNA from 1 species